UCCCCAGUGGACACAGCAUCCCGGAACCUCCACGCCCAUGGCCACUAGCUGGAGGACGUCCGCUUUCACCUCAUGUUCUUCCGCCUCGACAGACACAGACAACGAGGGAGUGCGCGGCAUUUGUGAAGAUGCUUCUAUGUGCAAGAGGAGCUGACAUGUCACAGGAGGUGUGGAGGACACCCAAGACUGGGCCUCGCUCCUGGACAGCAGCCAGGAACAGCUGUGAGGAAGGACAACCCUCAGAUUCAAAGGGGAUCCUGCAGGGCCGACCAUGGCACAGGCUGCCCAACGAUAUUUUGCUCGAGUCCAUGGCGUCAGUCAGCUGAUAAAAGCAUUUCUACAGUAGAAAGAAUGUCAUUGUCAAAUUCUAAAUCUUGGGACUGGGAUGGAGACCACCUUCUGGAGAUUAAAGGAGACAUGCCCAGAGAGGAUGGCCUUUGUGGUUGGUGGACACAGAUGACACAGGAAACAUCAGACAACCAGACAGGCCUCUAUGCAACCACAGUGCCAUACUCAUGCUCCUAGUGAAGAAACUCCCCCAGAAAAGAACAUCUCCCCCAUCCUUUGUUUCCCUCCUAUGAAUUGUAAGUAGAUCCUCUGCAGGCUUUGCCAUUUCCUGGCCUAGCUGUUUUCUCCACACUGUGGCUGUCACAAUUCCCUGCAUAUUGGGUGAUUACUUGGGUCAGGAUGAUUACUGGUAAUGAAAGAGCUAACAUUUUGCAUUAGCUUUGAUCCAUCAGUGCAGGAAAGUAUGAAGUAGAAAGUAAACACGCUCCAUAAUCUCUCCCCCCACCAAGAAAAGCAGGAUUCAGAGUGUUUUCUCCUGUUGGAUGAACAGCACACCUAGAG